rnacentral:rRNA from 1 species
GGGUUGUCAUGCCAAUGGCACUGCCCGGUAGCUAAAUGCGGAAGAGAUAAGUGCUGAAAGCAUCUAAGCACGAAACUUGCCCCGAGAUGAGUUCUCCCUGAGACUAUAAGUCUCCUGAAGGAACGUUGAAGACGACGACGUUGAUAGGCCGGGUGUGUAAGCGCAGCGAUGCGUUGAGCUAACCGGUACUAAUGAACCGUGAGGCUUAACCUG